rnacentral:rRNA from 1 species
AUUGAACGCUGGCGGCAGGCCUAACACAUGCAAGUCGAGCGAGCGGCGGACGGGUGAGUAAUGUAUGGGGACUGCCCGAUAGAGGGGGAUAACUACUGGAAACGGUAGCUAAUACCGCAUACUAUCGGAUAACCCAUAUGGGAUUAGCUAGUUGGGGGGGUAAAGGCUCACCAAGGCAACGAUCCGUAGCUGGUCUGAGAGGAGGAUCAGCCACACGGGGACUGAGACACGGCCCAGACUCCUACGGAGGCAGCAGUGGGGAAUAUUGCACAAUGGGCGCAAGCCUGAUGCAGCCAUGCCGCGUGUAUGAAGAAGGCCCUAGGGUUGUAAAGGACGUUCAGGCGGGAGGCGUUACCGACAGAAGAAGCACCGGCUAACUCCGUGCCAGCAGCCGCGGUAAUAC